GCUUCAAUGACUGCCACCCUCCCCAGGCUGAAUUUGGCCCUGGCUUUGCUCUAGUUCAGUUCCAUAUUCUCAACCUUCUGCAGAAUUCUUCCACUGGGACUAGCUGUAGUCUUUACAUCAAAAAGAGAAAAGCAGCCUCUUGAAAGGCAAGGCAGCUCCUCUCCACACCCCCUCAGGCUGCUUUCCUCUUUUACCUUUACCCUUGCAUCUCUCCCUCUUAAUUUCUCCCACUCCAUUUCAGUCCAUUCCCGGUUUUCAGCCUUUUCCUCCACUGCAUGGGUACAAUGCCACCAAGAUUCCACUACAGCUGCAGUGAAACUACCAGGCUAGAGGAAGGAUAGAUCUGUCUGUAGUUCAUCUGUUUGGCCCUUGCACCAAGCACAAAUGAACAAUGAAGUGGCAAACUACCUGCUCCCUCUUCCAAAGCUGCCACAUGCUCCUCAAUGUGGAUGCCAUGAAACAAAGGCCUUAAUCAGGGCUCAAAGGCCCUCAUCAUGAGCCCUAGUCCCCUUUCCUGAGGGCUCUAGUUAUCACAGGGCCCAGAUUGUAUCCUCAAGUCCUCUCCUCCAUGUUUCCUGGCUGUUAAUCACCUCCAUUUAAAAAGUCUUGACCUUUUCAACAUUUGGGAUUCUGUAAAUGCCAAUAACCUCCCACCUCACCCAUGUCCUUGUCCUUGUCACCUCCCAAAGCUAAAUGAGCUCCCUCCUUCCCCAUAAGGUCUUUCUCCAGUCCCCUGCAGUCUCCAGCUCUGCGUGCUGCAGCCAUCGCUAACCACAUCAUUCCUUCUGUCAGUGUGAUCUCAUGACAUUUCUUCAGUUAUGAAUCAUUAAUGCAUCAUAUUUGUGACCCAACAAGAUGUUCCCUAGGGACAUCAUAGAUGUACCUACAAGCCCCACAUCACCUGGCAUCUCCUCACAUGUAGUAGGGUCUCAGCAAAUAUUUCCUGAGCUAUAAAUCAAUCAAAGGGGACACAGAUGGAGACAUCUGCCCAACUUCAAAACAAGGUGGAAGAGACAGGCUAGAAACAUCUCUACUUCUGCCUAUGCAAGAUGAAUGCUUGUCCCAAUUACCUUCCACCUUCUCCCAAUCAUGGCCCCCAAUCUCUAAAAAGAGGCAAGAGGAAAGAACUGAGGAAGCGAGGAAGAAGACUGAUAAGCUGGACAGGACCGCAGAGAUCUACAACCACUGCUACACCAUUCUAAGGAUGAGAAGACUUUGUGGUAUUGUGGAAGGAGCAAAUGGAUUUGGUCAAAAUUCAUUUCAAAUGCCUCUUCCGUUUCCUGUGUGGCCGGCCUAACCUUGCCAGGCUUCAUUUUCCACAAUUGGAAGUGUCUCUGGACAAGGACAAGUUAACUCCAGGUCACUUUCUCAGCCAGCUGGGCAGGCUGCUGGAAAGCAGAGGGAUUACUGCGAGGGCAGGGAGCUCCUGCCCCAGCUGGCAGGGAACACUGUUGUCUCCCUCUGCUCACACCAGUCAGCCCAGGAUAGAAAUAUAGGUUCAGCAUCUGC